UGGGGAAUAUUGCACAAUGGGCGGAAGCCUGAUGCAGCGACGCCGCGUGAGGGAUGACGGCCUUCGGGUUGUAAACCUCUUUCCGUAGGGACGAAGCGUAAGUGACGGUACCUGCAGAAGAAGCACCGGCUAACUACGUGCCAGCAGCCGCGGUAAUACGUAGGGUGCGAGCGUUGUCCGGAAUUACUGGGCGUAAAGAGCUCGUAGGCGGUUUGUCACGUCGUCUGUGAAAUCCUAGGGCUUAACCCUGGACGUGCAGGCGAUACGGGCUGACUUGAGUACUACAGGGGAGGCUGGAGUUUCUGGGGUAGCGGUGGAAGGCACGGAGAUCAGGGAGAACACCAAUGGCGAAGGCAGGUCUCUGGGUAGUAACUGACGCUGAGGAGCGAAAGCAUGGGUAGAGAACAGG
rnacentral:rRNA from 1 species